AUGGCCGCUGCAACUCUCCCUAUUGCAUCGUUGAGGUCACCAAUCACAAAUCAAUCAGUCUUGCACCUAAUGGGACAGGUCAAGGAGGAGGAAAAGGAGGCAGAGGCGCCUAAAGAGAAGGUUGACAUGAAGAAGGUCCCAGAGCAUGUCCGGGAGAUGCAGGAGGCUCUUGCGAAGAGGCAGGAAGUGGAGGAAGAAUAA
rnacentral:rRNA from 1 species